CUGCAUUUAUUUCAAUGCAAGGGGUCUUACAGGAAAAACAUUCUAAUGAGCUGGGUGACAGAGAAUCCCCUAUGAUUCUCAAGUUGGCGUAGGAUAGUCAUGGAACACAUCCCCCGGACUUUCUUGUCUGUUUUGCUGAUGCCUACUGUGCUGUGUAGACGCUUGAGUGUCAUGGCAAUCCUGUCCUCAAGUUGUGGG